GCCUCGUUAGCGCAGUAGACAGCGCGUCAGUCUCAUAAUCGAUUUAGAAGUCUGAAGGUCGUGAGUUCGAUCCUCACACGGGGCA
rnacentral:tRNA from 1 species